AGAACCUUACCAGCCCUUGACAUGGGAACUAUGGUCACCAGAGAUGGUGUCCUUCACUUCGGGUGGGUUCCACACAGGUGCUGCAUGGCUGUCGUCAGCUCGUGUCGUGAGAUGUUGGGUUAAGUCCCGCAACGAGCGCAACCCUCAUCUUCAGUUGCCAUCAUUCAGUUGGGCACUCUGAAGAAACUGCCGGUGACAAGCCGGAGGAAGGUGGGGAUGACGUCAAGUCCUCAUGGCCCUUACGGGCUGGGCUACACACGUGCUACAAUGGUGGUGACAAUGGGUUGCGAACCCGCGAGGGCAAGCUAAUCUCCAAAAGCCAUCUCAGUUCGGAUUGCACUCUGCAACUCGAGUGCAUGAAGUCGGAAUCGCUAGUAAUCGUGGAUCAGCAUGCCACGGUGAAUACGUUCCCGGGCCUUGUACACACCG
rnacentral:rRNA from 1 species